GAGUGGAAAGUGGACAUGCUUCUCAGAGAAUAUGGACUAAGUUUGGAGCGCAACCUUAGCCUUGAUGAUAAGAGAGCAUAUGCAAUGGGCACAUUCUUGUGGCCUCAUCAGUAUUAAUCCAUCUUCUAAUCAUCAUCGUGCCUUAAUCAAGCUGCUAGCUAAUAUCAUAUGCAUGCAGUUAAUAACUUUUAGCACUAUAUAAUUAAAUACAGUACCUAUAUAUGGUGUGUGGUACUUUGUAGUAAGAUGGUUGGAAUCUAGUUUUGUUU
rnacentral:lncRNA from 1 species